rnacentral:pre_miRNA from 1 species
GAGACACCCUUAUGGGGCAGGACUUGCUUCAGUGGGACUCUGGCGCUCGCUGCGUCUGCCCCCUUAGUGUGUCUCA